rnacentral:rRNA from 1 species
AUACGGAGGGUGCGAGCGUUAAUCGGAAUUACUGGGCGUAAAGGGUCCGUAGGCGGCUUGAUAAGUCGGAUGUGAAAGCCCCGGGCUUAACCUGGGAAUUGCAUUCGAUACUGUCAGGCUAGAGUAUGUCAGAGGUUGGCGGAAUUCCUGGUGUAGCGGUGAAAUGCGUAGAUAUCAGGAGGAACACCAGUGGCGAAGGCGGCUAACUGGGGCAAUACUGACGCUGAGGCACGAAAGCGUGGGGAGCAAACAGGAUUAGAUACCCUAGUAGUCC